CUGAAGAAACUUACUUUUAUUUCAGAUCCAAACCCCUGUAGCCAAAACAACAGAGGUUCCUACAAGGGAUAAAGGAAGAAUAUUAACCCGAGUCCAACCAGGUGGAUUACUAUAUUUGCUACUGAUAGUGGAGACAAUAAGAUUUUUCAAAUUCCUGGAUAUAUGGGUCAAUUUGUUGCAGCUAUUCUGACAAACAUCUGCUCUGUGAGUGUGGCUGGGACCUAACCCUACCAUAUGAUCUCCAUGAAUUCAGACGACAUAAAUGUUCCUACCAGGCCCAGAAGACUAUUUAGAAUUCUACCUACUUUGGAGUCACUUCUAUGCUGCUGACCCUUAUAUAGGAUGUCAAAAAUUUUGGUUUGACUCUUCAUAUCCAAAUUGUACAAAAGUGAUUUGUUUCCAAUGACAAUAAUAGUCAUGGUGGAUUGAUCAAAAUUGGCCAGACACCUCACUGGUGAUGUAGGUACUUGACCAAAAAUUUAAGGGCAAGCUAAACUGGCUAUAAACAAAGACAUUCUUUAGAAGAGAAUAUGCUUUCAAGAUAAUACUACAUGUAGUGUGAAAAGAAUUGGAAAUUUUUAAAAGAAAAGUAUGUAUUACAAAAAAGGUACAAAAAAUAGUAAGCCAUUUAUACAGGACUGUUCCUGAACCCAAAGAUGAGAAAGAGCCUAUGCUUCAACAGGGUUAUUGACAAUGUUAGUAGAGGUGGAAUCUAAAGCAGCUAUGAGAAAAUGGUCAACACCUGUCAGUGCAAAGGUUAGGGUUAAUGAUUUAUGGAAAUAUUGUACAAAGGAUCAAUUAUGGAAAAUAACAGGAUUUAUAACCUAACACUACCUUAAAAGCUCAUGUUCCAUGAGUCUUUAAAAUAUCCCAUAGUACAGUUAGCUAGCACUGGAAAAAAAUAUUAAACCAUACCAUAUUCUACCAAUGGGAAGUAGAUAGGUAAUAUUUCAAAAUGACACUUAUUAGAAUUCCCUUUCUGACUGAGAUCUAAGAAAUGAGGUUGCUUAUGCUCACAAGCAACCUGGCCUUUUGUCCCUACUAUUACUAAAAUAUUUGUUACAUGGGAAAGGAACAGUUUUGUUGAGAAGCAAAUAAAAUUUCCUGACUUCUGC
rnacentral:lncRNA from 1 species